AGAGUUUGAUCCUGGCUCAGAAUGAACGCUGGCGGCGUGCUUAACACAUGCAAGUCGCACGAGAACGCUUCAGCUUGCUGAAGCUAGUAAAGUGGCGCACGGGUGAGUAACGCGUGGGUAAUCUACCUCCAAAUUGGGGAUAACAUUGCGAAAGCGAUGCUAAUACCGAAUAAUAUCUCAAGAACUUCGGCUUUUGAGAUCAAAGGUGGCCUCUCCAUGGAAGCUACUGUUAGGAGAUGAGCCCGCGUACCAUUAGCUUGUUGGUAGGGUAAUGGCCUACCAAGGCAACGAUGGUUAGCUGGUCUGAGAGGAUGAUCAGCCACACUGGAACUGACACACGGUCCAGACUCCUACGGGAGGCAGCAGUGAGGAAUUUUGCGCAAUGGGGGAAACCCUGACGCAGCAACGCCGCGUGAGUGAUGAAGGCUUUCGGGUCGUAAAGCUCUGUCAAGUGGGAAGAACCUGCCUAGUGCUAAUAUCACCGGGCACUGACGGUACCACUGAAGGAAGCACCGGCUAACUCCGUGCCAGCAGCCGCGGUAACACGGGGGGUGCAAGCGUUAUUCGGAAUCACUGGGCGUAAAGAGCGCGUAGGCGGUCUCUUAAGUCAGAUGUG
rnacentral:rRNA from 1 species